rnacentral:lncRNA from 1 species
AGGGGGGUCCUGGACUCCUGGGUCCCCUCUGGGGGAGAAGUGGGGGUCGUGGGGGGCGGAAGGGGGUCUCCCGGACGCCUGGGUCCCCUCAGCCCCCCUGUGUGUCCCCCCCCCCCCCAGGGGUGCCCGGGGGAGGUGACGUGUCUGGACGAGGCUCGUCACGGCUUCGAGACGGGGGAUUUCGUCACCUUCACGGAGGUGGAGGGGAUGGAGGAGCUCAACUCCUGCGGCCCCGUGGAGAUCCGCGUCCUCGGGCCCUACACCUUCAGUAUCGGGGACACCAGCGGGUUCGGGGACUACGUGCGGGGGGGCAUCGUCACCCAAGUCAAGAUGCCCAAGCACAUCCGCUUCGUGAGUGGCACUGGGAGGCACUGGGAGAGACUGGGAGGGGACUGGGGGGCACUGGAAGAGCACUGGGAAGGACUGGGGUAGAUUGGAAGGGGCUGAGAGGGAGUGGGGGGCACUGGGAGGGACUGGGGGCAGAUUGGGAGGAGACUGGGGGGCACUGGAAGGGACUGGAGGUGGAUUGGGAAGGACUGGGAGACACUGGGGUGGGCUGGGGGAGGAUUGGGAGAGACUGGAGAGCACUGGGAAGGGACUGGGGCCAGAUUGGGAGGGACUGGGGGCCACUGGAAGGGCAUGGGGGGCACUGGAGAGGAUUAGGGAUAGAUUAGAAGGGACUGGGGGUACUGGGAGGGACUGGGAGCAAAUUGGAAGAGACUGGGAGGGGACUAGGGGGCACUGGAAGGGCACUGGGAAGGACUGGGGUAGAUUAGAAGGAGCUGGGAGGGACUGGGGGGCACUGGGAUGGGUUGGGGGUGGAUUGGGAGGGGACUGGGGGGCACUGGGAGGGGAUUGGGGGACACUGGGAGGUACUGGGGAAUGGUGGAAGGUCAUCGGGGGGCACUGGGAGCUACUGGGGAGGGACUGGAAGGGGAUUGGGGGACACUGGUGAGUCACUGGGAUGUACUGGGAGGCAGUGGGAAGGGACGCUGGGAGG